CCGGGAGCCGGCCCGCCCCCCGCGCUGGCGACCGCUCGGCCCAGGGCGCCUCUGACGUCGGGAGGGGUGGCGACACCCCCAGCCCGUCCCCGCCCGGAGCCUUCUCGGGCCCGGGGCUCCAGGAAGCCGGGGAGUGCGGGGCCGGACGAGGGGCGGCGACACGGGCGCCCGGACGCAGCCAGCGAUGGAGGGAGACCCGAGGGCGCGGGGGCGCGCGGAGGGGCGGCGAUCAGCCUAGUCUGCGAGGGCGAGAAGGCCGACAGCGCGUGGGAGAGGCAGGAAGCCGAUAAGGAGAGAGAAUGAGGGAAGGACGGGGAGACGGGGACACCAGGGACUGAUGAGGGGACCAAGUCCUGGAGGCGGAGAGUUGCGCAGGAGGGCAGAGCCAGGCUUGGGGACCGCGUGUUCCAGUGUUUACACGCGGCUCCUGAGGUUUGUGAAACACUAGAACUCCCAGCUGCCUGCUCCUCUGCUCCCUGCCCCCAGUACUAGCCCUGGGGGGUCCCAGCCCAGGCGAACAGGACCGGGCGGUGGAAAGACCCCAGCAGAGCAAAGCCACAGCCUACCUGGCAGCCCACCUGGGCAACCCACCUGGCCCAUCCCUGGAUACAGCAUCACCAGUGGUUUCACUGUCUUCCUUUUAGGGGUGAGUACCAGGCCUUGGAGGAUGGCAAGGCUGACCGGCACUCACGAGGACCCCUCAUGAGCCCACGGUGGGGAGGAGGAGAGAGACACAAGGUGGGACCCUUGUCCUCCCCUCCUGGCCUGCACCACAGUCCAACCAAGUGACAGUAACGACUGGCCAAGUAUCUGCCAGACAGCAUCACAGUUUCUGUGUGCCACCUGGUGGCAAUAAAGGAGAAAGACAAGAGCAAGCGACAGUAUGGAGAAGGGGAAGGAAAUUCGCAGAGCAGCCUUUGCCGCUGCCCCGCUGGACUCUGGGAAGGACUGUCCCGGGCUCAGGCUGCAGGCCCCGCGCUCCAUGCCCCACCAUCCAGGCCUUCCCAGAUGGGGAAACUGAGGCCGAAGAAAGGCAAAUGAUGUGCCCAAGAGCACACACCCCAGGACCCAUUGUGGGAGAAGAGACUGACUCCCCUGGGAGAAGACAGCAGAAUUACAACGGGCGUCCUGCUCCCCACACACCCAGCCUUCUGGCCCUGUCCCAGCUCUGGGCCUCGCCUUCCUUCUGCCUCCCUGUCCUCAAAGAACACACAUUUUCCACUCGGCGGGGCCCAGGAGAGGAUGACUGUGUGUCUCAAGGCGGGUGACUGCUCUGACAAGACUCCCCGCGGGACAGAGGGAUGACGUUCCGUCAGCCCAGCGUCCACGUGGCAGGUGCACCAACCGAGCUGCGCCCAUCAAGUCAGGGCCAAGAACAUGAGCCCUGUGGGCACCCAGACCUGAAUUCAAAUUCUAGUUUCACCACUUACAGCUUUGUGACAUUGGAUAAAAGUCUUACCCUCUCUGACUCGUAUAAAAUGGAGUUGACAGCCUCCUAGGGUUAUUGUGGAGACUGAAUGGGACAAGGAUGUCAGGCACAUGGCACAGUGCCUGGCACUCAGGAGCUGCUCCCUAAGCGGGGGCCACACCCUCAUCUUCCCACACUGGCCUACCAGAAAGAGCUGGGGGUCCCAUGCUACCAGUGGACUCGCUGUGUGACCCUGGAGAUGCCACGUUCCUUCUCUAAGCUCUGCUCCUUCCUUUGCAUAAGGAGAGAAUCGAGGCUGAACGUGGAGGCUCCUGCCUUGGCCGACCUCCCAGAGCCACAAGGAAUCCCAUCCUUUUCGAAUGCUCAUGGCAGAAGAAGGGGCUGUCCUCAAGGUCACCAGGGACCUGAAAGCCGCCGUUUCUGCCAUCCUCCAUUGCCACGGGGCUGGGCAGCAGCCGGUCACAGAUGCCAGCGCUGAGCUGCACAGACUCUGUGGCUGCCUGGAGCACCUGCUGCAGUUUGACCAGAAAGAGCAGAGGAGCUUCCUGAGGCCUCGGAAGGGCUACUGGGACUUUCUCUGCACGUCCCUGUCGCAACAGCGUGGGGACACGGAGCCAGCCAGCUUUGUCCACUCCCAGGACAAGUUGAAGACCCCCCUGGGAAAAGGCCGGGCCUUCAUCCGCUUCUGCCUGGCCCACGGACAGCUGGCCGAGACCCUGCAGCUGUGCCUCCUGAACCCGGAGCUCACCAGGGAGUGGUAUGGCCCCCGGAGCCCUCUGGUGUGCCCUGAACUGCGGGAGGACAUUCUGGACUCUCUCUACGCUCUCAAUGGGGUAGCCUUUGACUUGGACCUGCAGCGGCCAGACCUGGAUGGGGCCUGGCCCAUGUUCUCAGAGUCCUGCUGCUCCAAUUCCAGCCGGGCCCAGGGACGAAGACCCAGAAAGACCAGAGAUUCCCCCAAGGAGAUAGCCACAUGUGAAGGCCCCACAGGAGUUCAGCCAGAGGAGCCACACGCCAGCCAAGCCAGCUGUGUGCGAGAUGCACCCAGGGGAGACCCGUUGGCUAGACUCUCCAGGUCACAGCAACACAAACAUUGUACCCCCUUUUUGGAAAAGAAGAGAGGAGAACCCGGGAGCCUUGGGCCCCCCCAAAGCAUACGGGAACCAGAGGUGGAGGAGCUUCCGCAAGACCAGGACAAGAGAGCCCCAAGGAUGAGGAUCUGUCUGGAGAACUCAACCCCCAGCAUCCGGGGACAGGGGGAGGGGGUCCAGGGGGCUCUGAAGGAAGUGAUCGGGGCAGAGAAUGAGGGCAGAGGGGUUCUGCUGGGUGCAGAGGGUCAGAGAACAAUAGAGGGGACUCCUGAAGGGGGAGCAGCGUGGGGUCAUGUCCAGAGGCUGCUGGGCUCCAGCCCCAGAGGGACGAUAGAGGACGCAAUGUCUGCGAGCGGGCAGGAGGGGGAAGUGGCUAGCAUUUGGGGGAAGCCCCAGGUCUUUCAGAGCCUGGAAGCAAAGGAAGGCUCCACCACAGAGAAGCCACAAGAGCAAAUAGGCGUGACCAGUGUGACCAGGAGGGAGGAACAAGCAGAGGCAGCCUUGCAGGACGUGGUCGAGAGCCUCAGACGUGGGCUCCAGAAGACCAAAGAGGAGGCCCGGCACCAGGAGCAGCUGCUGAAGGAGCUGGAGGGCGAGCUGGAGGCACUGCGGGAGCAGCUCGGCAGGUGUCAGGAGGAGAGAGCCCGGCUGUGGGCCGAGCUGGAGCAGAAGCAGCAGGAGGCCGACAGGAGGGACGCAGUGCAUGAGGAGGAGCUCGGUGGGCAGCGGGACCUGGUCCGUGCCCUGAAGAGGAGGGUGCUGGAACUGACUCAGUAAGGACGGCGGGAGUGCAGGGUACGCGGUAGGACAGGACGCAGACACAGGAGUGAUAGUUGUUCCCUGAGAACAACCAUCAAGCAGGGGUCUGGACCUUUUACAUAUUCUAAUUCAUCUCCUUCGUUUAGCCACCCCUGCUAUUGUCUCCAUUUCACACAUGAGGAAACUGAGGGUCAGAGAGGCUGACUUGGCUGCAAAGAACACCCAGCAUAUAAACUGCAUAGAGUCCUCUGACUCAGGCAUGCCCCGACCCCAACCAACCCCUCCUUACACACACACCUACUGAGGCUAAGAGAAGGGGAAGGAGCCUGCGGGUUGAGGAGGAAUUGGGAGAAGAAGGGGGAGGUUAACCAGGAGGCGAUCUUCCUCAGCCCACUGGCCUGGAGGCUGGCCCGGCUCGGCGGUCCUGGGUUCCAGGAUCCCUUCCAAACCACUAUGCUCACUGAGGGUUGGAGGAGACACAUAAGGCCUGGCUCCUGGCCCUCAGCCUGGUGGGGAGGUAGUUCAUACAUAUGUUAUCCUUUCACCCAGUCUAGCAAGUUGGAGACCAGGUACCCAGCUUCCAUUCGAACUGGGAGGUUGCUGGGCCAUCAUCUAAGCCUAAAUCCUCCUGCACAAAACCCAGGUGAUAUUAAGGAUGAGAAAAGGGAGAGACCAACCUGGAAAGAACAAGAAAAACAGAAGAUGUGAUGGAAGAUGAAAAAUACAUACUCUUAAAAUGUCAGGAUUAGAGUUAGGAUUAAAACUUAGCUCUGAGCAUCCUGGCAGCAGGAUCAAAAAGAGAAACACAGAAGGUCCCUAAAUUUCACUGUCCAUUCAAAGAAAGUACACUAGUUCAUCAAGAGAGACAAAUGUUUUUCUUAGCACACUGAAGAGAUCCAUCACAGGAUCCCAAACUACAAAACCUAACGUCCCUUGCAGAAGUGCCUUAAGCAAAAGGAGAAAAACAGAAGCCAUGGAAGUUGACCGCUGCACCAAGAUGGCAGAGCGACCACACAACAUCUAUUCUCCACCCUGAGAGCUUACUAAAAUGUCUGUAAAAGAAUAAAACUUAAAAGAAGGAAAAGUGGAGGAGACAGCCCCAGAUCAGAGAUCUCGGCUGAUUUCCAGAAGCCGGAUAAUGAAUGGGAAAGUGCAUACUAGAUUUAGCCUGAAUUAGAACUUCAAGGCCCAGAGAUGCCAGGACACAGAUGGCAGAAGUGAGAUGACGGGGAGAAAUCAGGACAAUUUCUGAUAAAGGCACUAGACAGAGCAAUGUACACCCCCUGCUCUCUGCCUGCCUCCCCACCUGCAGAACACCUGAGAGUGAGGGGCCUGCCUCUCAGGGAAAUAAUUGAAAGGUCCUUCUCUAAAGAAAGUUAGAUGCCCCAAAUAACAGAGAGUCUGGUGUGGCAGGUAGCUCCCUGCCCAGUCCCCACUAAGGGGAAGCCAUGAGUCAACCAGCCCCGUCCACUACUCCAGCAGCCUGUAUCACCUCUUUCCUAAACAUGAUGUGGCAGUCAAGGAUCCCCAGACACCUGAGAAGAAUCUAGAACAUAGAGGGGAAAGACAAAGAUAAACAAGCAAACAAAGAUCCAUCUCCCAUGAAAAAAGAUACUGUGAAAAGUGACCGUCAAAAAACAAGAAACGUUGUCGGAAAUUGAAAAGAUCGCUGACAAAAUUUAAAAUUCACUUAAGAUUGGAAGAAAAAGAUGAGGCAGCCUCUCAGAAAGUAGGAUAAAAAUCACAGAGAAAUGGAAGACGCGAGAGAAAUAAUUAGAGACCUGAAGAACCAAUCGAGAAGUCCCAAUAAUUUCUCCAACUGACAGGAACUCCAAAAAAGGAGACGAUAAAAUGGAGGAAAUUGUCAGAUGAAAAUAGGAGAAACUUUCCCAGCUCUGAUGGUCUGAUGGACACUGAUCUUCAGAUUUAAAGAUUUCACUGAGUGACCAGCACAAUAAGUGAAAGAGAGGAAAAAUUCACAUCUAGAUACAUCAUUGUGAAAUUUCAGUAAAACAAAGACAAGGAGAAUAUCCUAAAAGGUGGGUCGCUUACAGAAGAAGUAGAACCCAACAAAUUUUAUGAAUCAAUGGUGUAAUACUUUCAAGUUCUGAGAAAAGUUGCCUUUGCCCUAGAAUUCUAUAUCCAGCCAAGUGAUGAAGCAAGUGGGGAAAGUGAUGGAGGAAGGACGUACUUCAGACUGGUAGGGUACAGAAAACUAACCUCCCACAUAGCUUUUCUUAGGAAGUUAAUUAAGGAUGUGCUUAAGAAAAACAAGGAAGUAAGCCAAAAAAGGAGAAGAUGUGAAAUUCAGGAAACAGUAGGUCUAGCCCAGGAGAGAAGAAAAGGGAAUUUCUAAGAUGCCCAGUGGGCAGCAAGCCCAGGAAGCAGUCAUCCAGGCUGUAGCAGGAGCAUUGAGGGCCCAGGAAGAAGGUCUCUGGGGAGAAACAGAAUCAGCAGGAUACUUGAUAUGACGAAGAAUUGGGGUGGGGAGGGUGGGAGGCAGAACAAUUAGGCUAUGUUAAGGCAAGUCAUGCAAGGAGCAAAGAAAGGCAACUACAAAGUCCUAGAAAAAUAAAAAAUUUCCAAGAAAGGUAAUCUUACGGAAUACGUCUUGGUUCUGCUUGAAGCAAUAUACUUAUAGAUUGUCUAAAAAUAGAGAAAGACAACCUUUGGCAGAAGGUCCAGCAUCUCUCUUCCCUGGCCCCUGGAUGCUGUGUCAGCUGUAGCAAGAUCUUUGGCCGGCUGUCUCG